UCUAAUAUGGCAGAAUAGUGCAUUGAGUUUAAGCCUCAAAAAUAAAGUUACACUUUUUUUAGAA
rnacentral:tRNA from 1 species